rnacentral:lncRNA from 1 species
ACUAGGGAAGGGAAAAGUAGAUACACAAAAUGAUCUCAUUCUGCUGAAGUCUUUAGAACACAAACGCAUACACUGGGAGUGAUUGUGAUCAAACAAACUUCAACUGGGACUCGACAAAGAGCUUGUUUAUAGCUCCAAGGCAAAUGGGCAGACACGAACAGGGCUGUAUCCCUUUCCCGUGCACGCAUCAGCCUCCAUUUCAGAAAAUAUACUGUUCCAUUAAGUGCAAUUAGAAUAUCUGAGCUCCUAGAGGCCCUGAUAAUAGACUGUUCCUUUUAUCAGAUCAAGUACCAGGGAUUAAACUCCUGGUGUUUUGCAUCCAAAUGAGAUUUCUACUGGAACAGAAAUACUUGCUUUUAGAAUUGAUUGUGUGAAACAUCGUGCUACAAUUUGAAUGAUCCCUUGAUGACUGGACUUUCUGGGAUAGAAGUUCCAAUGUGAGUAUUUUGUACAGAAUCCCUGAUAGAUCAUUUGCUGGCUCCGCUCUUGUUUAACAGAUCCUGUCGCGGUCAGGGAGGAACUGGGAAGCAGGGAACACAAAGGAAAAUCCGUGGUUUGCUCUUAAGAAAAGGUUUCUUCACGUUUUGCAGAAAAUCCACGCGUACGGGGAGAGAAAUAUUUUUGACCCUGAUGGCAGAUUUGGCAUAGUUCCCCCUCAGUGACACCCCGUCCAUCAGGAAUGGGAUCAAACCUUUGCCUUACAGACGAACACUUCCAUAAGGGAUGGGAGCUUUCCGGACCAAAGCAGAUAAAUAAAAAUUAAAAACUAUCACUCA